rnacentral:lncRNA from 1 species
AGAAGAACCAGACGCCGGAGGAGCCGGUCGCCGCCACCCGCCGCCGCACCGGAGAAUUUUCCGACCACCAAUCGAGGUAAAUUUUCUCCUCCUGGCUUGUUUUUCAAUGCUGAAUCCACCUAUGGCCAAACUGGAGCCAAACCACCAGCCAAUUGGCCGAAAAAUCCCGCCGAAAUUCGGCGCCGCUGCCGCGGCUUCCCUCUGUUUUUGCCUCCGAUGAGGCCCUUUCCGGUCUCCGUUCGAUGCAAUUUUUAUACCACCGUGAUCACUGUUCUUUUCUCUACAGGUUGACCGGAGCAAAACAUUAAAACGUGACUCACGCCGGAGAAGUCGCCGCACCCGAGAGCACUGCCGCUGGUAAGUCUCGAUUUUUCGUGAUUUUUUGGCCCACCGAGAGCCCUAGGGUUGUUUUAUCGCAUGGACCAAUGCAAGUUUGGCCGAAUUCGGCCGAAAACGACCAACCCAAGGCAGA